GGAAGUAUACUUUAUAUAGAAGACCUAACUUGCACUUAGUCAGAGGAGUAUUCCUAUUUCCA
rnacentral:tRNA from 1 species